rnacentral:rRNA from 1 species
GACGAACCGAGCGAACGUUGUUCGGAAUCACUGGGCUUAAAGGGCGCGUAGGCGGGCGGCCGCGUCCGGGGUGAAAUCCCACGGCUCAACCGUGGAACGGCCCCGGGUACGGGUCGCCUGGAGGGGGGUAGGGGCGUGCGGAACUGUGCGUGGAGCGGUGAAAUGCGUUGAUAUGCACAGGAACUCCGGUGGCGAAGGCGGCACGCUGGGCCCUCCCUGACGCUGAGGCGCGAAAGCCAGGGGAGCGAACGGG